rnacentral:rRNA from 1 species
AUACGGAGGAUCCGAGCGUUAUCCGGAUUUAUUGGGUUUAAAGGGUGCGCAGGCGGCCAUUUAAGUCAGCGGUUAAAUCGUGGGGCUCAACCCCAUUCUGCCGUUGAUACUGGGUGGCUUGAUUGCGGUCGAGGUUGGCGGAAUUCGUUGUGUAGCGGUGAAAUGCAUAGAUAUGACGAAGAACACCGAUUGCGUAGGCAGCUGGCCAGACCGCAAAUGACGCUCAUGCACGAAAGUGCGGGGAUCGAACAGGAUUAGAUGCCCUGGUAGUCCGCACAGUAAACGAUGAAUACUUGUUUUCGGCGAUAUAAUGUCGGAGGCAAAGCGAAAGCGAUAAGUAUUCCACCUGGGGAGUACGCCGGCAACGGUGAAACUCAAAGGAAUUGACGGGG